rnacentral:lncRNA from 1 species
AGUUGCUGUAGCAACCGGCGGGGGAAGUGGGACAGGCUGGCUUUGAGGACGCGCGAGGUCGGCCGCGGGCGGCUGGAGCCGGCGCGGGCCUCUGUGCGCCGCGAGAGGGAGGCCGCCUGCAGCCCGGCUGCUCGGCCGCCGCGGGCCCGGCUCCGGGGGUUCAGUUUUAAUGAAGAAUCCCUGCUCCCUUCUCGCGCCCCUCCCGCUUUCUGCCCACCUCCCUGGGGUCUGGAAGGAGAGGGUCGCCCCUCCCCGCUUUGGCUGCUAAACUCUCUGGCUCUCCCCCCGGCCGCUGCCUGGGUUCUGGUGGCUUCCUUCCUCCUCCUUGUCUGUCGGAGCUCAAGGGACAAGCCCUUUCCCUGGCGCGUGCCUGGUGAAACCCUCGCACCCUUCCCCACCCCCACAAGCCUUUGGCAUGGCCUGGGAGACUCCGGGCAUCUUCAACCCAGCCAGGGACAAGGGUCCGCGGAGGGUCUGGAGCCCCUCGUGGGCCUGGUGCCCACGGAGUGCCCACCCCUGCCCUCCAGGAGCCCCUGGGAAGGCAGCACUCUGUUCAAGGAGGAAGCCAGACCCAGCUACAAGGGAGGGACCCUCGGCUGAUGCAAAGAGGCCGGAGCCCGCAUCCCAGCACCGCCCCCGCCGGCUGUCUGCUGGUUCCUUCUCCAAGGCCUUCAGAGAGGAUCCCUGAAGCUUGGCAGGGACAGACACAGGUUCUGGAGUGGGCUGGGCCUGAGUUCAAAUCCCACACUCCAGUGGGACCCUCAUCCACCGCUGAUAGGAAUGAGAAGUGGUUCGACUACUUUUGGAAAACAUUUGGCACUUUUAAAAAAGUUGAACAUACUCUUACCACGGAUCUGACCAUGGCACUCCGAGGCUUUUAUCUCCAAGAAAUGAAAUCUCCACCGGCGCAGUGGCUCAUGCCUGUAAUCCCAGCACUUUGGGAGGCUGAGGCGGGCGGAUCUCUUGAACCCAGGGGUCCAAGACCAGUCUAGGCAACAUAGUGAGACCCUGUCUUUACAAAAUAUUUAAAGACUGGACGGGCGCGGUGGCUCAUGCCUGUAAUCCCAGCACUUUGGGAAGCCGAGACGGGCGGAUCACGAGGUCAGGAAAUCGAGACCAUCCUGGCUAACACGGUGAAACCCCGUCUCUACUAAAAAUACAAAAAAUUAGCUGGGCAUGGUGGUGGGUGCCUGUAGUCCCAGCUACUCUGGAGGCUGAGGCAGGAGAAUGGCCUGAACCCGGGAGGUGGAGCUUGCAGUGAACAGAGAUCAUGCCACCGCACUCCAACCUGGGCGACAGAGCGAGAGUCUAAAAAAAAAAAACAUAUAUGUAUAUAUAUAUGCCGGGUGUGGUGGCUCACGGCUGUAACCUCAGCACUUUGGGAAGCCAAGGCAGGUGAAUCACCUGAGGUCAGGAGUUCAAGACCAGCCUGGCCAACACGGUGAAACCCCAUCUCUACAAAAAAUACAAAAAUUAGCCAGGCAUGGUGGUGCAUGCCUGUAAUCCCAGCUACUUGGGAGGCAGAGACAGGAGAAUCGCUUGAAUCUGGGAGGCGGAGGUUGCAGUGAACCGAGAUCAUGCCACUGCACUCCAGCCUGGGCAGCAAGGGCGAAACUCCGUCUCAAUUAAAAAAAAAAAAAAAAAGAAUUAGCCAGGCAUGGUGGUGCACACCUGUAGUCCCAGCUACUCAGGAGGCCGAGGUGAGAGGAUCGCUUGAGCCAGGGAGGUUGAGGCCGCAGUGAGCCAAAAUUACGCCACUGUACUCCAGCCUGGGCGACAGAGCGAGACCAUGUCUCAAAAAAAAAAAAGAAAGAAAAGAAAAGAAAAGAAAAGAAAGAAAAAGAAAACAAUGAAACUCACCUCCACACAGAGCCUUGCACAUGAGUGUUCACAGCAGCUUUAUUUGUAAAAGGCGGAAACUGGAGACAGCACAGUGUUGCUCCGUCCCGCAGGCAAAGGGAGCAACAGGUUGUGGCACAUCCGUCCCAUGGAAGGCGACUCACCAACAGGAACGACCGUGCACACAGCACCACAGCACCAUGACCAGGAGAGGAGCCGGAACAACCGUGCACACAGCACCACAGCACCAUGACUGGGAGAGGAGCCGGCAGCCACCAGCAAGGCAUGGGGGAUUGUGUCGGUGUGAAGUCCCGGAAGAUGCGUGCGAGUCGGUUACAUGAAACUCCCGUGAGCAGUGCACCUGAGGAAAACUGCAGCUUCCCAGCCGGUCCAGAGACUCGUUCUGCUGAUGCGGAGGGGCCCAGGAAUGCCAGGAAUGGGCAUUUAGCAACCCCUCCCCCUUCCCCAUGCAAUUGUGACGUGCUCCUGGGAGCUGUGACACUUGGUGACCUGGCCCCUCUGAGCCUGUUUUCCCACCCAUCAAGUGGGGAUAAAAACAGGACUGCCCCAGGAGGUCACUGUUAGGGUCAGUGAGCUGGGGCUCCAGGAGGGCCUGAUACACGGUAGGUGCUUCAUCCCUGGGCACUGGGGUUGCUCCUGCUGUGCCCAGGGGUGGCGAGGCUGCCAAAGAUGCUGGAAGGGUCUGCAACCAGAGUAGGGUGGGCGGGGCUCUGGGGCUUCUGGAUGGCAGGGACUCUUUUCCAACACAAGCUGCACCCAGGCGGGGAUGCGUAGCUCGGUACCUACAGGGAGGGUGUGAGGUCGCGAGGCCCAGAGCCACUCUCCUCCCCUGAGAACGUGGUCUCAGCCUCGCCGCACUGUGUGUGAAGCACCCCCUGCUCCUCCCAGGCACUGGAGGUCCUCCCACCCCACGGCUUGCUCCUUGGUCUGAGCAUCACAAGAGAGAGAAGAUGUGGUUUGGGCAGGGACUCCUGCACAGAAGAAGAAAAGAAAGCCAGAGAUGUUGCUUCCUCUGACCAAGGUCACACAGCGAGUCCAGGCUGAGGCGAGGCAGGGCUUCUGGUCUCUGCCACUCAGUGGGACCCAAAUCCGUGGGGAGAUGUGCGGGGAAAGGGGAGCAGUGGAGCUGCAUGGUCUGGGGCGGGACAAGUCAGCCACAAGCACCUUGGAGAAAAUUGACUUCUCAUUCCUUUAUUCAUUCAACAAUUAUUCAUUGGGAGGCUGAGGCGGGCGGGUCACUGGAGGUCAGAAGCUUGAGACCAGCCUGGCCAAUGUGGUGAAACCCCAUCUCUACUAAAAAUACAAAAAUUAUCCAGGUGUGGCGGUGUGCACCUGUAGUCCCAGCUACUCAGGAGGCUGAGCAGCAUGAGAAUCGCUUGAACCCGGGAGUGCAGUGACGCAAUCACAGUUUACGGCAGCCUUGACCUCCCCAGGCUUAAGUGAUCUUCCUACCUCAGCCUCCCUAGGAGCUGAGUCUACAGGCAUGCGCCACCACCCCCAGCUAAUUUUUGUAUUUUUCAUAGAGAUGGGGUUUCGCCAUGUUGCCCAGGCUGGUUUUAAACUCCUAGGUGAAAGCAAUUGGCCCUUGUCAGCCUCCCAAAAUGCUGGGAUUACAGGUGUGAGCCACAGUGCCUGGCCUCCCUGGAUCACUGGAUAAGACACCUAAGUGUUUUUUGUGCCUUAACUUGCUUAUCUGUAAAGUGGGGGUAAGAACAGUCCCAGGUGCUGGUGAGGGUUGUGCACAUGGCAUGGGGCCCGGCACAGAAAAAAUGCUGGCUGAAGAGGCUGGUAUUGCUGUACUAUCAACAACGAGCACACGUUUGCAGGUUUCCACAGUACGAGUCGCAGUGUGUAUAGGAAAGGGUAUCAGAUGCAGAGGAGGGCAUUGAGAGAGGAGGGAUUGAGUCAUCCUAGGGAGGUUGAGGGGCACCUGAGCAGGGUGUUGAGAGCUCUAUAGGAGUCCAUCACACCAAGAACUAGGAGAAGCUCAGCCACUGGCAAUUCCUAAAAGGGCUUGAGGGAGCUGGUGCCAGCCUUGCUGGGACUCCAGGAGCCCUGAAGGGUGGGUGGGGAAGCCAUUCUAGGAGUCCCUACUGCUGUCCUCUGAAGGACUUCCUGUGGCAGGUGGGCCUCCUGCUGUCUUCUCUGACUGUUUUCCACCCUCUGAGGGAAAGGGGGUGAACCACCCAGCCACAAGACUGGAACUACUGAGGCAGACCCCAGAAAGUCUGCUACCUUGUGUAGCCCAGCGUCCUGAUGCCUGGAGGUCCCCCCAUUCAGUCACCAGGGGACAGAACAGUGUGGGGGCUGAAGCCAGGCAAACAGGGUUCAAAACCCAGCUGUGGCAUCUUGCAAGCUGUGGGACUCUGGGCAAUCUUCAUCUCUCCGUGCCUCCCUGUUCUCAUCUGUAAAAUGGGAAGAAUGAUUGCACCUGCUUCAUAGGACCAGAGUGGGGAUUCCAUGGAUUCAUGCCUGACAUGAAGAGCUCAGCCCAGCAUCCCUAGCACAUAGUAAGUGCUCAAUAAAUGGUAGCCCCUUCCCAGCAUGGACUUAACUCCUGUCCUGAGCCGGUUGUGGAGGCCCCAUACAAGAUAAAGAGAAGAGGCUUGUUGUCUUUGGGGAUAAGGCUCUAUUCAUUUUCUGAUCAACAAUGUGUAUUCUUACUGUUGAAUCAACAGUAUUAAAUAAAAAAGAAAAAAAUCAAAAUGACAAUGUGUAUUCCAUCUCCCGUCAAACUGGGCCCCCUAUACUUCUGGCCUCCUCACCCUGCCUCUCUGCUGGGCCCAGAGCCCCCUUCCUGCAUCCAGGAAGCUCACUCUAGCAGCGUCCUGGCCACACCGCAUCUUCUCACAGUUUUUGAGCUUGGAAGGCCUUAGGGAAUAUGGGGUCCAGUCCCUCCGCAAGUACCCACGUAUGGAACUGGGGCUCAAGAGUAAAGACACUCGCCAGAGGCUGGGACUUGAAUUCCAGUGCCCCUGCCCAGGUCCUUUAGAUCGCUACUGCUGUGGGAAUUUUGAGAGGAGCCCCUUGGCAUGGGAUGAGCCACUGUUCCUUGGGCUGGAGUUCCAUGAGGGCAGGGUCCAUGGCUGUCUUGCUUACUUUGUGGCCCCUGGGCCCAGCAUAGAGCCUGGAACCUGUGAAUGAAUAAGUGAAUGAGC